CAAGUGUGUAUUUGUCUAUAACUGAACUAUCUAGACUUGUUGUUCCAGACUAAAAUUAUGCAUUUUUACUCUAUCUUUGAGGUAUUUGUUACACUGCUGUAUUUUUUUAUCUGUUAAACUCUGUUUGGCACUCUGUUGAAUCAAUCUUCUGGACGUGUCAAACUGUGGCAGGCUUUUGUUUGCUGCAUAAUGUGAGCUCACAAGGGAGGCCUGUGCGUUUGGGGUUGUGAUAAAGCACGGGAAGGCCUACGCCAUCUCCAGAGGACAAUGACUCACUCAACACCAGAAACAUGCUCAGAUCGGCUCCUGCCAGCCAGAUCUUUGUGUGCCUGUGGCAAAGCAAGCCCGGCUAAACUGUGUCUGGAUUUGACAGACAGGCUUUAUCCUCACAAAAGAUGCUUUUUUGAUAUCUCUGUCUUAGAGUAGGUCCAGUUUGGAGAGAUGGAGUACCUGAAGGAGCAGUAUAUGAUGGUGUUUCAAAGUCACUCUAAUGUUUACGUGUCUCCGUUCUCUUUUCUGCAUGUGAAGGUCACUCCGACCAAAACAAGCAAAGAAGCCAAAGCCACUCCUGAUGCUUCUAAAGAGCAGUCACAGAAAGAGACCCCACCAGCACCAUCUACUAAUGAAGCACCCAAGGCACCCCCUCCUCCUCCCCCAGCGCCACCUAAGAUGGAAAGCAAAGCAGAGCCGGCGGUGAAGAAAGAGGACACGUCUGCAACAAAAGCAGCCGCGGCAGCUGCAACAAAAAGCAGAGGGAUCUGCCAAGAGCAAAACUAAAGACAGUGCAUUAGGCAAACUCUUCCGUUCAAAGGUCGACGCGUCUAAGAGCAGCACUCUCGAGGCCGCUGCAAAACCUGAAGAUCCUCCAGCACCAAAACCAGAGGAGAAGAAACCAGAGAAGAAAUCCACUUUGGAAGCAUGUUUAAACCCAAGGUAAAGCCCAGAUGAGUGUGAGUGUAUCAGAUGUGUUUCUGCGUGCUUUGAGGUCCUGCUCGGUCAGGUGAGCAGCGUCCAGCAUCUUUACCAGGCCCUUUAUACACUCACCAGCUGUGUGUGUGUGUGUGUGUGUGUGUGUGUCUGUACUCUCACACUACAAGUGCAAUAGAGUCAAAACACACACAGGGUCAGUGGCACAGUUAUUAAUCACAUUAAUAUUUCAGUAGUGGAAUAUAGACUGUUUUCUGAAUAAAUAAAUUACACUAAAAUCCUUUACUUUCAUAUGACAUUCUUUUUCUUUCUCUUUAUUAUUUCUUUCAAACUGUCAAACUUUCAAACUUCCUUUUUUCUUUCUUUCUUUGAAACUUUAUUUCACACUUCCUUCCUUUUCUAUCUUUAUUUUAAACUCCCUUUUCUUUCCUCCUUCAAAUUUCCUUCCUUUUCUUUCUUUCUUUCUUUCUUUCUUUCUUUCUUUCUUUCUUUCUUUCUGUCUUUCGUUCUUUCUUUCUCUUUUCUUUCUUUCUUUUCUUUUCAUUUGAAACUUUUUCAAAAUUCCUUUUCUUUCUUUCUUUCUUUCUUUCUUUCUUUCUUUCUUUCUUUCUUUCUUUCUUUUCUUUGAAACUAUUUCAAACUUCCUUCCUUUUCUUUCUUUCUUUUCUUUUUAUUUGAAACUUUUUCAAAAUUCCCUUUCUUUCUUUCUUUCUUUCUUUCUUUCUUCCUUUCUUUUUCUUUGAAACUUUAUUUCAAACUUCCUUUUCUUUUUCUUUCUAUCUUUCUUUAUUUCUUUCUUUCUUUUUCUUUGAAACUUUCUUUCUUUCUUUCUUUCUUCCUUUCUUUUUCUUUGACACUUAUUUCAAACGUCCUUCCUUUUCUUUCUUUCUUUCUUUCUUUCUUUUUCUUUGAAACUUUCUUUCUUUCUUUUCUAAUUUAGUGC
rnacentral:lncRNA from 1 species